GGGGGCGUUCCGGAUUCGACUGGGUAGACGCGUCAUGGGUUGCAUGCCGAGGGCGGUUUGGUGCCUCGUAAAUCAUCCUUACCAAAAACACAACUGCCAACGAAGAAUUGGCUCUCGCGGCCUAAUUAAUCCGCGACGUCUGCCUCCUGACGCCGACUAGGGAGAGCGGGCGACGACAGACGGCUAGGGGAU
rnacentral:tmRNA from 1 species